GAUGAACGCUGGCGGCGUGCCUAAUACAUGCAAGUCGAGCGCACGGACGGGAAGCUUGCUUCUCUGAUGUUUUCGGCGGACGUGUGAGUCACACGUGGAUACCCUCCCUUUACGACUGGUAUAACUUCGGGACACCGGCUCUUAUCCCGUAUAAUAUUUUGAUCCGCAUCGUUCACAAGUAAAAUACGGUCUUGUUGUCACUUAUUGAUGGUUCCUCGCUGCAUUUGCUAGUUGGUAAGGUAACGGCUUACCAAGGCAACGAUUCAUAGCCGACCUGAGAGGGGGAUCGGCCACACUGGAACGGAGAAACGGUCCAGACUCCUACGGGAGGCAGCAGUAGGGAAUCUUCGGAAAGGGGCGAAAGCCUGACGGAGAAACGCCGCGUGAGUGAGGAAGGUCUUCGGAUCGUAAAACUCUGUGAUAAGGGAAGAACAGAUGGGUAAGGAACAGUGCACAUCGUGACGGUACCUAAUCAGAAAGCCACGGCUAACUACGUG
rnacentral:rRNA from 1 species